GGUGGUUCUCCGGUGAUGCAUCCCAGAAUCGGGCUCCCUCCUCUCUGGUUCUGGGUGCGUCACCCGAGAACUGUG
rfam:Myotis lucifugus cont2.63010, whole genome shotgun sequence.